UACUAUUCCAGGUCCAGAGGAUGCCUACAACACCAUAGGCUCCGAUAGUAGUAGUAGUAGUAGUAGUAGUAGUGUGAGUACUACUUCUACUUCUACCGCUAGCAACACCGGGCUCUACAUCGGACUAUUCUUCGGGCUCAUCCUGGCGAUAGUCUUCAUAGGAGUGCUAGUCUACUUCAGAAUGUUUUGGGCGCCCAGCUGUACACGUGAACUAACAGUCUUGGCUUCACGGCAGGUCGCUAAAAUGGGAGUUGCCGGAGCCAGUGAUGCCGUCGGACAUGAUGCCACACUUUGAGGAUGUAGCGAUGAUUCCUAACCCCGGGGAGCGCGCCGAGGCCAUGCGCCAGCUGAUCAACCGCCUGCCAACCGCCAACCGCCUGCUGCUCCAAUACAUGUUCAAGCAUAUGGGACACAUCAUUGCAAGGGUGCCUGAGGACGCCUUCCCAUGGACAGCAGCAGGCGACAUCCUCCUGAGGGGCUGCUGUGUGGCGUCCAUCCUCCUUUGUAUAAAGACAAAUACACUUACCUCAACACAACAA